AGAGUUUGAUCCUGGCUCAGGAUAAACGCUGGCGGCGUGCCUUACCAAUGCGAGUCGAACGAGGUCAGGUUUCGGCCUGGUCGAGUGGCGCCCGGGUGCGUGACACGCCGGUGACCUACCCCGCUGUGGGGAAUACCCUGCCGAAAGGUGGGCUAAUACCGCAUGCGAUCCCCGGUCGAACGGGGAUGAAAGCCCGCAAGGGCGCUGUGGGAGGGGCCGGCGGCCUAUCAGCUUGUUGGUGGGGUAAUGGCCUACCAAGGCGACGACGGGGAGCCGAUCUGAGAGGAUGACCGGCCACAGUGGGACUGAGAUAUGGUCCACAGCCCUACGGGGUUUAGCAUGGAGGAAUCUUGCGCAACAUCCGAAAGGAUGGCGCAGCAACGCCGCGUGAGGGACGAAGCCGUUUGCAGUGU
rnacentral:rRNA from 1 species